UGCAGUCGAGCGGUAGGCCCUUCGGGGUACACGAGCGGCGAACGGGUGAGUAACACGUGGGUAACCUGCCCUGUACUCUGGGAUAAGCCUUGGAAACGAGGUCUAAUACCGGAUACGACCACUGAUCGCAUGAUCGAUGGUGGAAAGUUCCGGCGGUAUGGGAUGGACCCGCGGCCUAUCAGCUUGUUGGUGGGGUAAUGGCCUACCAAGGCGACGACGGGUAGCCGGCCUGAGAGGGUGAUCGGCCACACUGGGACUGAGACACGGCCCAGACUCCUACGGGAGGCAGCAGUGGGGAAUAUUGCACAAUGGGCGAAAGCCUGAUGCAGCGACGCCGCGUGAGGGAUGACGGCCUUCGGGUUGUAAACCUCUUUCAGCAGGGACGAAGCGCAAGUGACGGUACCUGCAGAAGAAGCACCGGCUAACUACGUGCCAGCAGCCGCGGUAAUACGUAGGGUGCGAGCGUUGUCCGGAAUUAUUGGGCGUAAAGAGCUCGUAGGCGGUUUGUCGCGUCGGCCGUGAAAACUUGGGGCUUAACCCCGAGCCUGCGGUCGAUACGGGCAGACUUGAGUUCGGCAGGGGAGACUGGAAUUCCUGGUGUAGCGGUGAAAUGCGCAGAUAUCAGGAGGAACACCGGUGGCGAAGGCGGGUCUCUGGGCCGAUACUGACGCUGAGGAGCGAAAGCGUGGGGAGCGAACAGGAUUAGAUACCCUGGUAGUCCACGCCGUAAACGGUGGGUGCUAGGUGUGGGGGACUUCCACGUCCUCCGUGCCGCAGCUAACGCAUUAAGCACCCCGCCUGGGGAGUACGGCCGCAAGGCUAAAACUCAAAGGAAUUUGACGGGGGGCCCGCACAAGCGGCGGGAGCAUGUGGAAUUAAUUUCGAUGCC
rnacentral:rRNA from 1 species